rnacentral:rRNA from 1 species
UACGAAGGGGGCUAGCGUUGCUCGGAAUCACUGGGCGUAAAGGGUGCGUAGGCGGGUCUUUAAGUCAGGGGUGAAAUCCUGGAGCUCAACUCCAGAACUGCCUUUGAUACUGAGGAUCUUGAGUUCGGGAGAGGUGAGUGGAACUGCGAGUGUAGAGGUGAAAUUCGUAGAUAUUCGCAAGAACACCAGUGGCGAAGGCGGCUCACUGGCCCGAUACUGACGCUGAGGCACGAAAG